GGCGGACGGGUGAGUAACACGUGGGAAUCUGCCCAUUAGUGGGGGAUAACUCGGGGAAACUCGAGCUAAUACCGCAUAAUCCCUACGGGGGAAAGCAGGGGAUCUUCGGACCUUGCGCUGAUGGAUGAGCCCGCGUCGGAUUAGCUUGUUGGUGGGGUAAUGGCCCACCAAGGCGACGAUCCGUAACUGGUCUGAGAGGAUGGCCAGUCACACCGGGACUGAGACACGGCCCGGACUCCUACGGGAGGCAGCAGUGGGGAAUCUUGGACAAUGGGCGCAAGCCUGAUCCAGCCAUGCCGCGUGUGUGAAGAAGGCCUUCGGGUUGUAAAGCACUUUCAGUAGGGAGGAAGGCUUUGGGCUAAUACCCUGGAGUACUUGACGUUACCUACAGAAGAAGCACCGGCUAAUUUCGUGCCAGCAGCCGCGGUAAUACGAAAGGUGCGAGCGUUAAUCGGAAUUACUGGGCGUAAAGCGCGCGUAGGCGGUGUGUUAAGUCGGAUGUGAAAGCCCAGGGCUCAACCUUGGAAUUGCAUCCGAUACUGGCACGCUAGAGUGCAGUAGAGGGAGGUGGAAUUUCCGGUGUAGCGGUGAAAUGCGUAGAGAUCGGAAGGAACACCAGUGGCGAAGGGCGCCCCCGGGG
rnacentral:rRNA from 1 species